rnacentral:rRNA from 1 species
UACGUAGGGGGCAAGCGUUGUCCGGAAUCAUUGGGCGUAAAGAGCGUGUAGGCGGUCCGGUCAGUCGGUUGUGAAAGUCGAGGGCUCAACCCUCGAAUGCCGGUGGAUACUGUCGGGCUAGAGUGCGGAAGAGGCGAGUGGAAUUCCUGGUGUAGCGGUGAAAUGCGCAGAUAUCAGGAGGAACACCUAUUGCGAAGGCAGCUCGCUGGGACGUAACUGACGCUGAGACGCGAAAGCGUGGGGAGCAAACAGG